rnacentral:rRNA from 1 species
UACGGAGGAUGCAAGCGUUAUCCGGAUUUAUUGGGUUUAAAGGGUCCGUAGGCGGGAAAUUAAGUCAGUGGUGAAAGCCUACAGCUCAACUGUAGAACUGCCAUUGAUACUGAUUUUCUUGAAUUUAUAUGAAGUGGGCGGAAUGCGUCAUGUAGCGGUGAAAUGCACAGAUAUGACGCAGAACACCAAUUGCGAAGGCAGCUCACUAAUGUAAUAUUGACGCUGAGGGACGAAAGCAUGGGGAGCGAAC